GUAGGUGCGAAAACAAAACGCCAAUCGAUUGGAUGACUAAACACGGGACAUUAUCGGUUAGUCAGCGAUUGUAUAGUGGUAUCAGUAAAAAUAUUCCAUUUUCGAACGAAUCGAUGCAGUGCAAAAUAUGAUGUACCUAGCCGAGUAGUGGUGCAGUUGAUAAAGUCGGUCUCGUGUGUCCUUCAAUAAGGAAAAGGGGAGAAUUUUUGCCUUGCGUUUUGAAGAACAAAAUUAGUUUACCUUGGAAAACGAUUUCGAAAUCAGUGAGCUCCUGAAAGAAGUGACAAAACUCUUUGUUCCUAGUACAGACUGUUAUUGUCUGAAACCGGUUCAGAUUGUGAUAAUUAAAAAAAACCUUAUCAGCAAGUCGGGCGUUCAGCUCAGGAAAUAAUCUUUAAGCGAAAAGGUGUAAAUAAAAAACAAAUUCUCACUGGUGUGACAAACGUGUAGUUUCUAUAACCGCGACUCAUUUCGUAAAUUAGUGCAACAAAUAAGAGGCGACACUGAUGCAAUUUAAUAUAAUAACUUUACAGAAUUGUUUAAUCAGAUAGUGAAAAUAGUGAAGUCCCCAGAACAGAGUAAUUCGUGCUAAGUGCUGAAAGGAAGACACCAAAACAUCAUCCCGUGAGCAUUGUGAGCUAAGGCAGGCAAAUAUGUCAACAACGAAUCGAAGAAGAAAAUCAAUAACUGGCCCGGUUGGGUGGCAUCGCCCGCAAUCAGCAGCUGUUUCCCGUUCCUCCUCAAGCAUUGCCAUUGGCUGCUGCAAUCAGUGGAUGAUGAUGAUCUUCUUCACUGUACCGGUGCUGCUAGCUGCCUUUCCAGUUGAAACGUCGGCAAAUAGUUUGAACCUAGUCGGCAAAAACUGCAUCGUAACUGAGCCUUUGUACAACGUGACAUUCAAUUUCAGUUCACUCAACUCGGAGCUGGCUCACCAUAUUAAGUCGGACAUCAACGAGCAGUUUAUGUUUGAUGUGUGUGACCACCUUGCAUUCAAAUGCAAUGGGAUUUCCGGCGGAGCAGCAUGUCUUAAGCGGAACGAUAACACCCAAGUGUUGUUGGGAAGGGAAUCGCAGCUGCACUUGACCGAUGGUCGUAUUCAUUUUAAUUUUUCUAACGGAGAAGAAUGCCGGAAUGGAAGAAACUACUCGCUUGACAUCAUCUUGAUGUGCAGUUAUUCGUCGGUGGAAGAGCCAUUGAGUGUGAUCCCGUACUCUGUGGACCAGUGUGGGUAUUUCAUGUUUUGGACGACGAAACUGGCCUGCACUCCUUUACCGGCGCGUGUGAAGGCGAACGAGUGUGCCGUCAAAGAUGAGACGGGUUAUACGUUUAAUCUGCUCCCGCUCAGCCACACGCGACAUCACGUUCCGGAUCGUAGUGGAUCGCACUUUUUUGUCACGGCGUGCAAACCGGCUCACUAUGGUCACAUGUCCAUGUGCCCUCCGGGGAGCAGCGUUUGCUAUUUUAACAGCAGCGAAUCGGAUUACACGAAAACCUAUCAUGAUUACGGUCAAACAGAUCCGAAUCCUACCAUCGAGAACAACAAGCUGGUUAUGAAUUUCAAUUCCAGCAAUGAAAGCUGCCAGAACUCGAAGAUCAUUUUUGAAUGUGACCCAGGAGCGAUCGAAGAGGUACCGGAGUACGUGGCAAAGGAGGGAUGCGUGCAUUUAUUUGAAUGGCGUACACCGCUGGCUUGCAAGAAGAAGGAAUCCUGUGCGGUGCUUGAUGCCAACAGUGGUAUGCUAUUCAACAUGAGUUCGCUAGCUGGACAAAAGUACACCGUGAAGGAAGCUAACAAAACGUACGAGUUUGUGGUUUGCAAGAAUGUCGGAAGCCAGUGUGCAGGAUCAUCCGGAGCAUGUGAAAUAACCAAGGAUAACACGGAAGCCAUUGGUUUGGGUAACUUAAACGAUGAACUACUAUUUAAUAUAACCGGAGCUCCCUAUCUGUUGUACAAAUCUGGUUCUAUUUGUAAGCAAGAUCAAAGGUGGUCCACAAAGAUCGAGUUUAUCUGCGAGACAGACAAAGGUGCUAAAACUGAACCCAAGCUGGUUGAGAACAACAAUUGUGAAAUUAUCAUUCAAAUGGAAACAGUACUGGCAUGUAAGAAACAGGUCUCAUGUGUCGCUACGAACAUGUCCAAUGAUCUUGAAAUUGACCUAAGUCCACUGUCUUCAUCUGAACACAAUUAUGAAGCGCUGGUUAACGACACACUUGCCAUCGCCAAAAAUAGGAAAUUCUUUCUGAAUGUAUGUAGGCCGCUUCUUUCGACCUACGGCCUCGGAUGUCCUGGGGGUUCGGCUGCAUGCAUGGCAGUCCAGAGUGGCACGGAUUUAACCCCCAAGGAGGAGCUUUCGAUGGGCUUUCCGGAUGUUUCAUCGAUUAUCGUCGGUAAUAAAGUGCAACUCAAAUACCUACGGGGAAGCGUCUGCCCUCAGGACAAUGAAACAAAUAUUUCGACGGAGAUUGAGUUCUAUUGCCAACCCAAAGCUGGCCGCGGUUUGCCAAUCCUGCAGGAAGUAAUGCACGACUGUCACUAUCGGUUCGAGUGGCCUACAAAUGUUGUUUGUCAGGAGUUUGAGGCUGAGUUCAGCGAUAAAUCGUGUGAGAUCGUUAGCAAGGACAUGGACACUAGUGUGGAUUUGAAGAAGAUUUUUCCAAGUGGAGAACUGUUAGUGAAUCCGAGCAAAAACAGUGCAUCGCAGGAGCUCAAAGAGGGCAAGGUACAGUUAUGCUCGAAGAAUAUAACGGUCAAGACCGUUUAUCAGGAUCGCGCUGUUGUGAUGUUUUUCGCCGUUGCAGAUGCGAGUUGUGAGGAAACUGGAGAUAACAUCAACGUCAAUCUGAAAAUAGAAUGCGGACAAAUUAGUAGUUUCAACAUAAAUGAGCAAAGCAACUGUCACCUGCUGCUGACUCAAUUGUCGCCGCAUAUUUGUACCUUUGUUGGGGCUUCGAGCAACGAAACGGACAGCAAUUCACCGGGUGCUGAUGCGACUACAGCAACGACGACGACGACGACGAUCACUCCAUCGGAACCCACAAGCAAAGUGGUGACACCCACCUCCACGGCGAGUCCUGCAAGCAGUGACCCCACUGCCUCAAAAGACGACGCUACUUCUAGCGGUGCUGAUGACAACAGUGGUACCUUGGGUAUCAUCUUGGCCGUGUUGACGCUGAUCUCGCUGGUCGGGGCUGGCGGUUUCUUGCUGUUACGAAAUCCGGAACGGCGUGACCAGCUGCGGUCGCUGUUUCGCCGACGAAACGUGCUGGUGCAGUAUUCGAGGGACAAUUUGGCUGCCGAUUUUUAGCUCGUUUCCAAUCCCUGCCGUUGCACCUGCACUCGUUUGCUGUGUUUCGUUCUUCACUGUAGCUCCACAGCAUUGCCAAUGAACCCGCCAAAGGUUCACACCAGCAAUGAAGAGGCUAGCCUGCUGAUGAAUCCAACGGCGGUUCUAUCGGACAGCGACGAUGAGAUGCUGAUUUAAAGUUUUUUUUAAAACAUUUUUUUUGCUACGUAACAAUGAAAGUCACAUGUUCGCGCCUUACACAAGAAGAACAACAAUAAUAUUUUUUGUAAAUCUUAAUAAUGUUAAAUGGUAGUAUAUGAAAUGUGAUGAAAGACCAAAAAUAAAGAGGAUUUAGUGUAGGAAAUUACUACGAAGAGAGAUGGAGGAAAACUGGAGAGGAGGAGAAGUCUGUGGUGAUCAACCUAUUGAAACGACUUAAAGUAAAUAAUGAUUUCAUAUUUUUAAUCUAAUUUUUAGUACACAAUUUAUAUCGCAAGGAGUCCUUUGAGCCCGGCUCAAGUUUUAGGUACUUAAACUUAGAGAAGAAAGAACCAGGCUUUGUAAACUGAGUGAGAAUUAUUUCAAAUGUUUAGUAUGUUUAUCAUCCUUUUACCAGAAACUAAUAAAGACUAAAACGGGAAGCAUACUGUACUUGAACGGAAGCGUAUUGUUAGGAAUGUUAGGAAGUUGUAGAGAAGAGAGUAAACUAUUUUACAUUGCAUACCUUAUCCUUCUAGAUUAGAAAUAUAUGAUGUCAACAGAUGUGUACAUCCUUUUCAAAUUA